GGCUGCGUGUCCGAAUGAUUAGGUGACUGCUUGCAACCCAGUUUAUGGGGGUUCGAAUCCCUCCGCAGCCU
rnacentral:tRNA from 1 species